GAUGAACGCUAGCGGCGGGCCUAAUACAUGCAAGUUGAACGGGAUUGUUGGUAGCAAUAUUGACAUGAGAGUGGCGCACGGGUGCGUAACACGUAUGUAACCUACCUUUAACUGGGGCAUAGCUUCGAGAAAUCGAAAUUAAUACCCCAUAACAUUUAGAAAAGGCAUCUUUUCUUUAUCAAAGCUCAGGCGGUUAAGGAUGGACAUGCGGUGCAUUAGCUUGUUGGUGAGGUAACGGCUCACCAAGGCUACGAUGCAUAGGGGGUCUGAGAGGAUGAUCCCCCACACUGGUACUGAGACACGGACCAGACUCCUACGGGAGGCAGCAGUAGGGAAUAUUGGGCAAUGGACGAAAGUCUGACCCAGCCACGCCGCGUGCAGGAAGAAGGCGCUACGCGUUGUAAACUGCUUUUAACCGGGAAAAACCUCUGAUCGUGUACCAGAGCUGAUGGUACCGUAAGAAUAAGCAUCGGCUAACUCCGUGCCAGCAGCCGACGG
rnacentral:rRNA from 1 species